rnacentral:RNase_P_RNA from 1 species
UGCCGUGAGGCAACGGAAAGUGCCACAGAAAACAGACCGCCGAAGUUUUCCCGUUUAUACGGGAAAACAGGCAAGGGUGAAAAGGUAGUGUAAGAGACUACCGCACAGGGUGGCGACACCCUGUGGCACGGCAAACCCCGCUCGGAGAAAGACCAAGUAGGGAAGCAUACACCCUCAGGGUGGGCAGAUGGCCCGUCUGAUGCUUCCGGGUAGGUCGCAAGAGGCACCCAGCAAUGGGUGUCCCAGAUAAAUGAUCGCUCUCGACAGAAUUCGGCUUAUAGACCCACUCGCUUC